AUGUUCGAUUAGGUAGUUGGCAGGGUAGAAGCCUCCCAAGCCUACGAUCGAUAGUCAUGUUUGACAGAGCAAAUGACCACAUUGGGAAUGAAAUAUCCCAAGUAGCGUAACGCUACCAGCAGUCAAGAAUAUUAGUCAAUGCUCGCAAGAGUGAACUAGCUAACUGAAAUCAACGGUGUGUCAUCGUUGAUAACGUAAGGGAAAAUAAUGAUAUUACCUUACUAUUAGUGUCGUCCAAGUACUCGUGCCAGAAGACUCGGUAAGGCGAGAGACGCAAACGUUAGUCGUCUUAAUCAGGCGUAAAGGGUUUGUAGGCGGCUUUAAGAAUCAAAUAAUUUCUAAUAAAAUUAUUUAAGGGAUUUAUUAAAAUUUACUAUAAUUAAGUUUUAAUUUAAUAUGCGCUGCGCAUACCUAACCCUAAAGGGAGGAGCGCGGCGCUAGCGCAGCCCNNNNNNNNNNCCUGUGCUAUAAAUUUUAUUUUAUAAAUGACUAUAUCGUGCACCUCUGCCUGAUGGUGGAGGUGUGCGCAGCCAUUAAUACAAUAUAUAAAUUUUUAAAUUUAAGAUUAUUAGAAAGAUCAUUUAAAGCUAGAAUCAAGAAGAGGUUAUAUUAAAUAAUACUUAGAGUAGGAUUGAAAUCUUUAAACACUAAGUGGAAUACUAAUGGCGAAGGCUUUUUUCCAAUAAUGAUUGACGCUGAGAAACUAAGGUGAGGAUAGAAAAAAGGAUUAGAGACCCUAGUAUCCCUCUCUGUCAACGAUGAAUGGUAGUUACUAGCAGAUAGCUAGAAGCGAUGUUAACACGUAAACCAUUCCGCCUUGUGAGUACGACUGCAAAGUUGAAAACAAAAAAAUUAGUCGGUCUCGGAGCAAACGAGGUGAAGCAUGUUAUUUAAUACGAUACUCCGCGUAAAAUCUUACCAGUUCUUGCAUAAAAACUUUUAUUUUUCUACUAUUAGAUCGAAUUUUAGGAUUUAAGGGUUAUAAACCUCACUAGAUUCUAGAUUUUAUCU
rnacentral:rRNA from 1 species